rnacentral:rRNA from 1 species
CCUACGGGAGGCUGCAGUGGGGAAUAUUGGACAAUGGGCGAAAGCCUGAUCCAGCCAUGCCGCGUGUGUGAAGAAGGCCUUCGGGUUGUAAAGCACUUUCAGUGGGGAAGAAAGCCUUGGGGCUAAUACCCUCGAGGAAGGACAUCACCCACAGAAGAAGCACCGGCUAACUCCGUGCCAGCAGCCGCGGUAAUACGGAGGGUGCGAGCGUUAAUCGGAAUUACUGGGCGUAAAGCGCGCGUAGGCGGUCUGAUAAGCCGGUUGUGAAAGCCCCGGGCUCAACCUGGGAACGGCAUCCGGAACUGUCAGGCUAGAGUGCAGGAGAGGAAGGUAGAAUUCCCGGUGUAGCGGUGAAAUGCGUAGAGAUCGGGAGGAAUACCAGUGGCGAAGGCGGCCUUCUGGACUGACACUGACGCUGAGGUGCGAAAGCGUGGGUAGCAAACAGGAUUAGAUACCCGAGUAAGUC